rnacentral:lncRNA from 10 species
ACAGAGCCGCAGAAUCAUGCGCAUUGCCGGGGAGAAGGUGGUAUAGCGUCUCUGCCCGCUUCUCUCUCGGCUCACACUGCGUGGCAAGUUUCUGGUGAGGGAAAUGGUAGCUUCUAACGGGACCCUGGCGGGUCUCAAUUACCCCGGACAGGUCUGAGGGAAGUGGAGCCCCCGCCCACUCAUGGAACCCAACAUCCGGUUUCCAUCCGGCAAAAAGCAGUUCCCGAGAGGACCAUGCUGAUUCUAUGAUGGGGAAACCCAGGAGCCGGCGGCCCGGGAGAGCCGGGGAACGUCCUUCGCCGGAGAUCUUUUCAAAGAGGUCACGCGCCGCCUCCCCACCCCGUCUCCCUCCGCACCCAGACACGUCCCCAGAGCAGCGCACCACCCCCUCCAAACGUGAUGCAGACCGGGGGAUGACUAAAAUGACCUCUCAAAGUCGCUAAGAUUUAGAGUGAGUCAUUGGCUCAGCUGCGAAGUGCCACAGACCCCUCAGGAACACUCGUGCACACACACUCCACCCCCAGUGCUGGUCACUGCUGCUCAUCAUUACUGAAUCCCGACUCCAAGCAGUCAAAGUUGGGUCUUUUUCCCACUUCUCCUGAUAAAGGCUGCUUCCUCACGCACAUGGUUCCUCCCCUCUCCACCUUACUCGGAGCCCAGCCCCGACUCGGCCGCAUGAAACCAAGAUGGGUUUGGGGGAAGCUUUAGGAGUCUGGGAUGGAGGAGACCCAGGGAAAGGGAAGGAGCUUCUCAUCCUACAGAGGAAUGUAAAUAGGAAACUGGAAGGUCUUCGUAUGUUCCAGUCUCCCUACCCUAGCCUGUCUGCUUCCCCUCCCCCAAUACAGUUGUAUUUGCAGAAGAAAUAAAUGAGUGUCAUGGAAACAUCUACUACAAACAAUCACCUCACACCAGCGCUCAGAGGCUGCAGUGAAGAUGUUUGUUCUUUCAAGGAGUGAAGGCAGUGGUAAGAAUCACACCGCUCCCUGGGAUGGGCUGUUGGCCAAGGAAGGAAGGCAGAGGGUCAGCGAGCGAGAGCUCAGGAAUUUCAUCCUCUCAAAGCACUCGUUAGCCACAAAGCCCUGGCUCCAGGACAUGAAGCUCCCAAAACAACAAGAAGGAGACUUGCUUCUGGGAAAGCGUGCACACAGGUACACACACAUGCACAAAAAGUGGCCUUGAACACCGGAGGUGGAGCAUUCCCUGACACCGGAAGCCUCUUAGCUCACCGCCAGCUGGGAGGCAGAAAGAGGCCCCCAACAGAGCAGUCAGUGAGCACAUGGAUAAAGGUCGAGGGCCUGGAUAGAUCCAGAGAACCAGGACUGUUGAAUAACCUUCUACCCUACCCACCCCUCCACCUGUGCAAACACACUCAAGAUGCAUAACUUGGGGCCAUCUCUCCCUGAGCCAUGAUUUUGGUUCUCUUCUUGGGCAAAGAUGCCUUUCUGGGGACAAUGAAGUGAGCUGCUCCAGGUCUCAUUGAUGCAGUGAUCUCCAGGUCUCAUUGAUGCAGUGAUUUCCAGGUGGCAUGACCCAGAAUAACUCCACCCCCAACACACACACACACAUAUACAUACACACACACUUACACACUUUCCCAGGGCCCCGGGACUGUAAAGACAUAUUGGAAUCCAUUUGCAGAAUUGGUCAUAACAGGAUCCUUCUCCUCCCACAACCUCUAAGCAGCUAACUGUGGCCUAGAGAAAAGUGCCGGAUCCACAAAGCCUGGCCCUAGUUCCUCACCAUUGUUAGGUAUGGAGUGGGAAACAUCAGGUCUCAGAGAAACCCUCUCCUAGGGGCCUGCAGGGCAAGGAAAAAGAUGGAGCCACUCUCACCACCCAUCUUGAUUGCUUUGUCUGGCCAUCCAUUUGUCCUACUCAGGGUUCUGCCUCCUGCUAGGAAAGUAGAACUGUCUGUCAGAAUGGAUGGCGGGCAUGGAGGCUCAUGCCAGUAGUCUCAGCUCCUCAGGAGGCUGAAGCAGGAGUAUUGCCUGAGCACAGGAGUUCUAGGCUCAGUGAUCAUGCCACUGCACUCCAGCCUGGGUGACAGAAUGAGACCCUGUUAAAAAACAAACAAAAACAACAACAAAAGUGUCUGUCAAAUUGGAAAGAAAAAAACACGUAACAAG